GAUGAACGCUAGCUACAGGCUUAACACAUGCAAGUCGAGGGACCGGCGCACGGGUGAGUAACACGUAUCCCACCCGCCCUUUACUCGGGGAUAGCCUUUCGAAAGAAAGAUUAAUACCCGAAAUAAUGGAUGCGUAUGCGUUGCAUUAGGUUGUUGGUGAGGUAACGGCCCACCAAGCUUUCGAUGGCGAGGGGUUCUGAGAGGAAGGUCCCCCGCAUUGGAACUGAGACACGGACCAAACUCGUACGGGAGGCAGCAGUAAGGAAUAUUAGUGAAGGGGCGCUAGCCUGAACCAGCCAAGUAGCGUGAAGGAUGAAGGCGUAAGGGUCGAAAACUUCUUUUAUAUAAGAAUAUGUAUUAGAUGAAUAAGGAACGGCUAACUCCGUGCCAGCCGCCGCGGUAAUUC
rnacentral:rRNA from 1 species